rnacentral:rRNA from 1 species
AACGAACGCUGGCGGCAUGCCUAACACAUGCAAGUCGAACGAGCCCUUCGGGUCUAGUGGCGCACGGGUGCGUAACGCGUGGGAACCUGCCCUUAGGUUCGGCAUAACUCCCCGACAGGGGUGCUAAUACCGGAUAAUGUCUUCGGACCAAAGAUUUAUCGCCUUUGGGUGGGCCCGCGUUGGAUUAGCUAGUUGGUAGGGUAAAAGCCUACCAAGGCGACGAUCCAUAGCUGGUCUGAGAGGAGGAUCAGCCACACUGGGACUGAGACACGGCCCAGACUCCUACGGGAGGCAGAAGUGGGGAAUAUUGGACAAGGGGCGGAAGCCUGAGCCAGCAAUGCGGAGUGAGGGAUGAAGGCCUUAGGGUUGAAAAGUUAUUUUACCCGGGAUGAUAAUGACAGUACCGGGAGAAUAAGCCCCGGCUAACUCCG